UACGAAGGGGGCUAGCGUUGUUCGGAUUUACUGGGCGUAAAGCGCACGUAGGCGGAUCGAUCAGUCUGGGGUGAAAUCCCAGAGCUCAACUCUGGAACUGCCUUUGAUACUGUCGAUCUGGAGUAUGGAAGAGGUGAGUGGAAUUCCGAGUGUAGAGGUGAAAUUCGUAGAUAUUCGGAGGAACACCAGUGGCGAAGGCGGCUCACUGGUCCAUUACUGACGCUGAGGUGCGAAAGCGUGGGGAGCAAACAGG
rnacentral:rRNA from 1 species